rnacentral:rRNA from 1 species
CUUAAAGUAAGGAGAAAGAUCCCUUAUAAAAGUUAUUAUAACUAUAAAGAAAAUUCGCUUUAAGAUGCUAAUAUAUAUCUCGGGUAAGUAGUAGUUAAAGUAAUGGUUUAACCAGCUUAAGCCCGUAGUCGAGACUGAGAGGUUUAUCGACCACAUUGGGUCUGAAAAUAGCCCAAUACGUAUAGUACAGCAGUGGGGAAUAUUGGUCAAUAGCCUAACGGCUGAACCAGCAAUUUGGGAGAAUGAGGUUGGUAACAUGACAAGUGGGGCCAGAGAAUAGUUACGCAAGGAUCUGUUUUCUGGCGGGGAAUCGGCUUAGUCGAAUAAAGUUCUAGAUAGAAUAAUGAUUAUGACAAUUUUCUAUCUAAAUGUCUUGACCAAGUCACGUGCCAGCAGUCGCGGUAAUACGUGGAAGACUAGUGUUAUUCAUCUUUAAUAGGUUUAAAGGGUACCUAGACGGUAUUUCUAGCCCCCAAAGGGUACGGAUUUACUAGAGUUUUAUGUGAGAGGCAAAUAUUAGUACUAUUGGUGUAGAGAUGAAAUUCUUUGAUACUACUAGGACUGGUGGCGGCGAAAGCAACCCUCUAAGUAUAAACUGACGUUGAGGGACGAAGGCUUGGGUAGCGAAUAGGAUUAGAUACCCUAGUAGUCCAGGCAGAAAAUUAUGAGUGCCAUAGACUAGAUUAAAUAAUUUUGGUCUAUAAAUGAAAGUGUAAGCAUUCCACCUCAAGAGUAAUGUGGCAACGCAGGAACUGAAAUCAUUAGACCGUUUCUGAAACCAGUAGUGAAGUAUGUUAUUUAAUUCGAUAACCCUCGAAAAACCUUACCACAAUUUGAAUGUAAUAUAUGUAGUAGUCUAAUAAUUGUCUAGUUAACAACUACAUGUAUUAACACAAGCGUUGCACGGCUGUCUUCAGUUAAUGUCGUGAGAACUUGGUUAGAUCCAUUAAAUUAACGUAAUCCCUUUCGUUAGUUCUCUGAACUAAUGAAGUUCACCGCUAUAUUGGAUAUGAUAACAGGGAAUAAGACAAGUCAUCAUGACCUUAAUAUUGUGGGCUAUA